UACGGAAGGCAGCAGUGGGGAAUAUUGCACAAUGGGCGCAAGCCUGAUGCAGCCAUGCCGCGUGUAUGAAGAAGGCCUUCGGGUUGUAAAGUACUUUCAGCGGGGAGGAAGGCGAUGUGGUUAAUAACCGCGUCGAUUGACGUUACCCGCAGAAGAAGCACCGGCUAACUCCGUGCCAGCAGCCGCGGUAAUACGGAGGGUGCAAGCGUUAAUCGGAAUUACUGGGCGUAAAGCGCACGCAGGCGGUCUGUUAAGUCAGAUGUGAAAUCCCCGGGCUUAACCUGGGAACUGCAUUUUGAAACUGGCAGGCUUGAGUCUCGUAGAGGGGGUAGAAGUUCCAGGUGUAGCGGUGAAAUGCGUAGAGAUCUGGAGGAAUACCGGUGGCGAAGGCGGCCCCUGGGACGAGACUGACGCUCAGGUGCGAAAGCUGGGGAGCAAACAGGAUUAGGAUACC
rnacentral:rRNA from 1 species